UACGUGCCAGCAGCCGCGGUAAUACGUAGGGUGCGAGCGUUAUCCGGAAUUAUUGGGCGUAAAGAGCUCGUAGGCGGUUUGUCGCGUCUGUCGUGAAAGUCCGGGGCUUAACCCCGGAUCUGCGGGUGGGGUACGGGCAGACUAGAGUGCAGUAGGGGGAGACUGGAAUUCCUGGUGUAGCGGUGGAAUGCGCAGAUAUCAGGAGGAACACCGAUGGCGAAAGGCAGGUCUCUGGGCUGUAACUGACGCUGAGGAGCGAAAGCAUGGGGGAGCGAACAGGAUUAGAUACCCCUGGUAGUCCAUGCCGUAAACGUUGGCACUAAGUGUGGGGACCAUUCCACGGUUUCCGCGCCGCAGCUAACGCAUUAAGUGCCCCGCCUGGGGAGUACGGCCGCAAGGCUAAAACUCAAAGGAAUUGACGGGGGCCCGCACAAGCGGCGGACCAUGGCGGAUUAAUUCGAUGCAACGCGAAGAACCUUACCAAGGCUGGACAUGUUCUCGAUCGCCGUAGAGAUACGGUUUCCCCUUUGGGGCGGGUUCACAGGUGGUGCAUGGUUGUCGUCAGCUCGUGUCGUGAGAUGUUGGGUUAAGUCCCGCAACGAGCGCAACCCUCGUUCCAUGUU
rnacentral:rRNA from 1 species